CCGAGACGGCCCUUCGUAUGAAGGCCUGACCUCACACCCUCUGUCGUCUUCCACUCUGUUGCCUCGGGAGGGGCCCCUCUGGCCGCGAGCGCGGCCUCGUGGGGGCCGCCCGGUGGACACUGGAUCAAACUCUGGUUACAUGCGUCCGAGUCGUCGUCAAACGAACGAAUUAAUCA
rnacentral:misc_RNA from 1 species